GCCCGCAUAGCUCAAUCGGAUAGAGCGUCAGACUCUUACAAGUCACAGGCGGAAAGGAAUCUGAAGGCUGCGAGUUCGACCCUCGCGGUGGGCU
rnacentral:tRNA from 1 species